AGGGUAACGUGACGUACACACCACGUCUUCUCAUUGCCGACUUACAAGGAAGCUUAGGAAACCUGAAGGCAACCGAUUGUCUUUAUGACCCUCCGUCAUCAUCAGCCAAUGAUGUCAUUGCUUGGUCUGGUAAAGUCACCAUCCACAAGGCUGAACCAGAGACAAAGGUUCCAAGUGGCUCCAGAGACAAAGAUGUACAACGGUUUCCUGCUGACCAGGACCAAGAUGUU